rnacentral:misc_RNA from 1 species
AUGUAUAUAUAUAUAUAUAUAGGCAUCCCAGUUAACAUUAAUUGUAUGAAGAAGAAUCAAUCAAGAAUGGCUACAGAGAGAGAAACUGAGAAAUUAAGUUCAUGGACUUUUUGGUGACCUCUUAUUCCAUUUCUGCUGCGGAAUUGAAUUACCAAUAGGAUUGGGUCCUGAAUGUACUUCAUGCAACUCUUUCCUUGGAACAUGCUUAUCUUCACCCAAUGACAUGAUCUCAAGAUCUGAUGGUGAUUUGCUAUCUUUGACGAUCUCAGCAUCUAAUAAAUAACCAAAACCAAAGUUAACAGCAUAUUUAGUACUCAUAACUAUGCAUAGAGAUGGAGAGAGAGAAAAUAAUGAUUAACCUUGAAGCUUUCUCGUGAGAGGCAAGCAUGAAGGAGGAGUGAGAUGGGAGAGGGAGAUCAGUAGCAGUAGUAAUAGAAUGAAGAGAAUAGAUGAAGAGAAGCUUGUAUGGCUUUGUUUCAUGAGGAUAGCAAUUAUAUAUGCAGUGCAGGUUUUGAUCAAAAGGAUAUAUAUACAUAGUUGUGUGGAAGGAAUAAUGUUAGUCCUAUAGACGAUAAAACUACAGCAGAGAUCAG